GAUGAACGCUGGCGGCGUGCCUAACACAUGCAAGUCGAGCGAACAGACGAUGAGUUUGCUCCUUCGUCGUUUGCCGCGGACGUGAGUGUAACAUGAAGGAAACCCACUUAUAUGUCGGAGAUCACCAGGGAAAACGGGAGAUUACACCAGAGAAUAUCCCGAACCGCGUUGUUCGAUAGUGAAAUACGGCGUUGGUAGCACUUCUCGAUGGAUCUGCGCCGUAUUAGCUAGUUGGUAAGGUAACGGCUUACCAAGGCAACUAUACGUAAGCGACCGGAGAGGGGGAUAGGCGACAUUGGAGGUGGACCACGGUCCAUGCUCCUACGGGAGGCAGCAGUAGGGAAUCGUCGGCAGUGGGGGAAAGCAUGACGGAGCGACGCCGCGUCUGUGGUGGAGGUCUUCGGAUCGUAAAGCUGUGUUAUUAGGGAAGAACAAACUUGUACGUAGAUGAGCACGUCUUGACGGUACCUGGUCAGAAAGCACCGGCUAACUACGUG
rnacentral:rRNA from 1 species